rnacentral:rRNA from 1 species
UACAGAGGUGGCAAGCGUUGUUCGGAAUUACUGGGCGUAAAGCGUGCGCAGGCGGCUUUGCAAGACAGAUGUGAAAUCCCCGGGCUCAACCUGGGAACCGCAUUUGUGACUGCAGGGCUAGAGUACGGUAGAGGGGGAUGGAAUUCCGCGUGUAGCAGUGAAAUGCGUAGAUAUGCGGAGGAACACCGAUGGCGAAGGCAAUCCCCUGGACCUGUACUGACGCUCAUGCACGAAAGCGUGGGGAGCAAACAGG